GUUCUUGUCGCUGUUCCUGUCGUCGUCAUCUCAAUUCGCGCACACACACACAGACACACACACAUACAGCUAGACAGGCUCCACCAACACACAGGACACCCGCACUUAUACCAAGGCAAGUAAGGAAUCGCGGCGUCAAAAACAGCGACAGGACACGACGAUGCCGCGACUAUUGAGAGAGUGAGAAAGAGAGAGAGAAAGCGAGAGCGAGAGCGAGAGAAAGAGCACCAGCGAAAGCACCAGAAUGAGAGGGAAAGGAUGAGCGAGAGAAGGUGAGAUGGCGAGAUGGAAAGAACGAGAGCUUCCCAGUUGGACUUCUCUCCGUAAUCCCAUGUGUGUGUGUGUGAGGGAGGGAGGGUAGGGAAGCUCGCUGGAACUUUUUCGCAUACUCGCAGGAUAUUCGGUUAGAGAGUAGUGGAGAGAGGAGCCUUGCGGAGGAGGAUGUGCGUAUGUGUGUGUGUGUGUGUCGUCUCAGUUGACGUCUCAGUUCGCGGCGACUGCGGCGGCGGCGGCGGUAGCAAACAGCGACGUUGACUGCGGCGAGGACAUACACAUAAAUAAAAAGUCCUUCAUUCCGUCGCGACCAGCGAGUAACGGCAUAUGAGCGCUCGCAGAGAAAUCGCUAAUAACGGCGAACGGCGGACGAAAAAAGCACAAGAGCCUCCACAAAAAAUCCAAAGCACAGAAGCUAAAUAAUUAACCAACCAAUAAAUAAAAAAAUCUUAAAAAAAAAAACCGAAAACCGAAAAACUGCUAUUCCAAAAAAAAACAAAUACAAAGAAAAAACUAAUACAAGAAUUUAAAGAAUUCUCUUGGAGUUUGAACUAGUGCCCCCCCUUUUUCAGAUUUUUUGUGUGCGUGUGUGUCCCUGUUCGAAUGUCCUUUUCUGACGUAUGGCAGGAUAUUUAUUUUUUUUUAAAUAAAAUUCGAAAUAUUUCAAGCACAGAAGCUAGUGGAUAAGGAAUAAGUG